UAUAAUGAAGCACUCAUAUAAUGGACGUAGUGUCAGUGCCAUACAGUUGAAGGCGUUUGAAAUCCGGGUAAAAAUGGAAGCAACUUUCUCUUCAACGACGGGAAGAGGGUACUGGAAUAAGGCUCGUGCUUUGGCAGAACCGUUGCUCCUGAGAGUUGUGGAGAAUCGCGAUCGGAAUCCGUCUUCACUGUCCAUCGCGCGCUCUAGCAAGUUUGUGCAGCUGUCACUUCGAACGAGGAAGAGUUCUCUCUUUAAGGUUUUAUCCGCUGAAAAGGAACAAAUUCACGUUGUAGAGGGAAGUUGUGUUGAUGAGUUAUAUGAUGCAUUGGUUGCACGUCUUCUGCCUUCGGUGUUACUGUCAUCAAAUCCUAAUGACAAGCUUUUAGUUGGCCUGGCUGGUCCUCCAGGUGCUGGAAAGAGCACUCUAGGACAUGAAGUAGCCGGACGCAUAAACAAAAUUUGGCUAGAGAAAGGUUCUUCCUUUGACUCUAAGGUGCAACCUCCAGAUGUUGCAAUUGUCGUUCCCAUGGAUGGCUUUCAUCUUUAUCGUUCUGAACUAGAUGCAAUGGAGAAUCCUGAGGAAGCACAUGCCAGAAGGGGAGCUCCCUGGACAUUCAAUCCAUUGCGGCUACUCACAUGUCUCAAGAAUCUAAGAAUUGAUGGAUCAGUUUAUGUACCAUCGUUUGACCAUGGUGUUGGGGACCCAGUGGAAGAUGAUAUCUUUGUGAACCUUCAGCACAAGGUUGUUAUUGUAGAAGGUAACUAUUUACUCUUGGAAGAUGGGGUAUGGAAGGAGAUAUCAUCUUUGUUUGACGAGAAAUGUUUCCUCCCUAAGGAAGACAUUUGAAUUUACUUGUGAUUUGUGUCUCCUUCUCCAUCUAUAGGCAAAUCUCCAGACAUUGCUAAACAACGGAUAGACAACAACGACAGGCUCAAUGCAGAACUUAUAAUGAAGUCCAAGAAAAAUGCUGAUAUAGUUAUCAAGUCAGUUGAUUUCUGAAGAAUCUGUUUGCGCCAAGUCAAUCCUGUGGAGAGUAUUAUAACCUCAGAAGGGAUGUCUUUAAUAAAAUAAUUUAUUUUGUGAAUUUUCAGAGUCAAACAAACUGAUUUUUUUUUAAUUAUUAUUAUACAACAAAUUUUAGUGCA